CGCUCAACCCUUCCGGCGGUCCAGGCCGCUCACCUUAAGGACGCAGAGUGGCGUCAGAUUUGGAGAAGCGCCGGGGACCGUGGAGGAAGUCAUCGGCCUGGAUUUCUUUGGAUUUGCAGAUAGGGUUCCAGCAGAACUGGAAGGUGAAUUGCUGUGUUGUGGACAUUCCUCAAGAUCAAAUGUACAUAAAACCUGUCUGUAUCUACGUCUCUCCUUAGGGUGUCCAUUUGUGUGCAUUAUUUGCUUUCUGUUUUGUUCUUUGAACCCAUUGUAACACAAUAGACUUAAAAUUAUUUACUAAA